rnacentral:rRNA from 1 species
UAGUCCACGCCGUAAACGAUGAGAACUAGAUGUCGGGAGGGUUCCCUUUCGGUGUCGCAGCAAACGCAUUAAGUUCUCCGCCUGGGGAGUACGGCCGCAAGGCUGAAACUCAAAGGAAUUGACGGGACCCGCACAAGCGGUGGAGCAUGUGGUUUAAUUCGAUGCAACGCGAAGAACCUUACCUGCCCUUGACAUAUAGCGAACUUUCCAGAGAUGGAUUGGUGCCUUCGGGAACGCUAAUACAGGUGCUGCAUGGCUGUCGUCAGCUCGUGUCGUGAGAUGUUGGGUUAAGUCCCGCAACGAGCGCAACCCUUGUCCUUAGUUGCCAGCACGUAAUGGUGGGAACUCUAAGGAGACCGCCGGUGACAAACCGGGAGGAAGGUGGGGACGACGUCAAGUCAUCAUGGCCCUUAUGGGGCAGGGGCUACACACGUGCUACAAUGGGCGAGUACAGAGGGGUUGCUAACCUGCGAAGGGGGUGCUAAUCUCAG